rnacentral:misc_RNA from 2 species
AACGCACAUUGCGCCCCGUGGUAUUCCGCGGGGCAUGCCUGUUCGAGCGUCAUUUCAACCCUCAAGCUCUGCUUGGUAUUGGGCCGUACCGGUAACGGUAAGCCCUAAAAUCAGUGGCGGUGCCGUCUGGUACUAAGCGUAGUAAUUCUUCUCGCUAUAGUUUCCCGGUGGUAUCUGGCCAGGAACCCCCAAUUUUCUAUGGUUGACCUCGGAUCAGGUAGGGAUACCCGCUGAACUUAA